rnacentral:rRNA from 1 species
CAGCAGCCGCCACGGUAAUACAGAGGGUGCGAGCGUUAAUCGGAUUUACUGGGCGUAAAGCGUGCGUAGGCGGCUUUUUAAGUCGGAUGUGAAAUCCCUGAGCUUAACUUAGGAAUUGCAUUCGAUACUGGGAAGCUAGAGUAUGGGAGAGGAUGGUAGAAUUCCAGGUGUAGCGGUGAAAUGCGUAGAGAUCUGGAGGAAUACCGAUGGCGAAGGCAGCCAUCUGGCCUAAUACUGACGCUGAGGUACGAAAGCAUGGGGAGCAAACAGGAUUAGAGACCCCGGUAGUCCCUGUCUCUUAUAC